GAAUUGUUCGCAAUGGGCGCAAGCCUGACGACGCAACGCCGCGUGGAGGAUGAAGACCUUCGGGUCGUAAACUCCUUUCGACCGAGAUGAACACCCAUCGACCUAACACGUCGGAGGGCUGACAGUAUCGAGGGAAGAAGCCCCGGCUAACUCCGUGCCAGCCGCCGCGGUAAUACGGGGGGGGCAAGCGUUGUUCGGAAUUACUGGGCGUAAAGGGUUCGUAGGUGGCCAACUAAGUCAGACGUGAAAUCCCUCAGCUUAACUGGGGAACUGCGUCUGAGACUGGUUGGCUCGAGUGCAGGAGAGGAACGCGGAAUUCCAGGUGUAGCGGUGAAAUGCGUAGAUAUCUGGAGGAACACCGGUGGCGAAGGCGGCGUUCUGGACUGCAACUGACACUGAUGAACGAAAGCCAGGGGAGCAAACGGG
rnacentral:rRNA from 1 species